rnacentral:rRNA from 1 species
CCUACGGGAGGCAGCAGUGGGGAAUCUUGCGCAAUGGGCGAAAGCCUGACGCAGCCAUGCCGCGUGAAUGAUGAAGGUCUUAGGAUUGUAAAAUUCUUUCAGUAGGGACGAUAAUGACGGUACCUACAGAAGAAGCCCCGGCUAACUUCGUGCCAGCAGCCGCGGUAAUACGAAGGGGGCUAGCGUUGCUCGGAAUUACUGGGCGUAAAGGGAGCGUAGGCGGACAUUUAAGUCAGGGGUGAAAUCCCAGAGCUCAACUCUGGAACUGCCUUUGAUACUGGGUGUCUUGAGUGUGAGAGAGGUAUGUGGAACUCCGAGUGUAGAGGUGAAAUUCGUAGAUAUUCGGAAGAACACCAGUGGCGAAGGCGACAUACUGGCUCAUUACUGACGCUGAGGCUCGAAAGCGUGGGGAGCAAACAGGAUUAGAUACCCUGGUAGUCCACGCCGUAAACGAUGAUUGCUAGUUGUCGGGAUGUUUACAUCUCGGUGACGCAGCUACGACAUAAGACAUACCGCCGUGGGUAGGUACGGUCGCGAGAAGUUAAACGUACGAAGAAGUUAGACGGCGUGAGACGUGCCGACGGACGACGACGAGGGAGGUUAGG